rnacentral:rRNA from 1 species
GGGUGAGUAACACGUGAGCAACCUGCCCCUGACUCUGGGAUAAGCGCUGGAAACGGCGUCUAAUACUGGAUAUGUCCCAUCACCGCAUGGUGUGUGGGUGGAAAGAUUUUUCGGUUGGGGAUGGGCUCGCGGCCUAUCAGCUUGUUGGUGAGGUAAUGGCUCACCAAGGCGUCGACGGGUAGCCGGCCUGAGAGGGUGACCGGCCACACUGGGACUGAGACACGGCCCAGACUCCUACGGGAGGCAGCAGUGGGGAAUAUUGCACAAUGGGCGGAAGCCUGAUGCAGCAACGCCGCGUGAGGGAUGACGGCCUUCGGGUUGUAAACCUCUUUUAGCAGGGAAGAAGCGAAAGUGACGGUACCUGCAGAAAAAGCACCGGCUAACUACGUGCCAGCAGCCGCGGUAAUACGUAGGGUGCAAGCGUUAUCCGGAAUUAUUGGGCGUAAAGAGCUCGUAGGCGGUCUGUCGCGUCUGCUGUGAAAUUCCGAGGCUCAACCUCGGGCUUGCAGUGGGUACGGGCAGACUAGAGUGCGGUAGGGGAGAUUGGAAUUCCUGGUGUAGCGGUGGAAUGCGCAGAUAUCAGGAGGAACACCGAUGGCGAAGGCAGAUCUCUGGGCCGUAACUGACGCUGAGGAGCGAAAGGGUGGGGAGCAAACAGGCUUAGAUACCCUGGUAGUCCACCCCGUAAACGUUGGGAACUAGUUGUGGGGUCCUUUCCACGGAUUCCGUGACGCAGCUAACGCAUUAAGUUCCCCGCCUGGGGAGUACGGCCGCAAGGCUAAAACUCAAAGGAAUUGACGGGGACCCGCACAAGCGGCGGAGCAUGCGGAUUAAUUCGAUGCAACGCGAAGAACCUUACCAAGGCUUGACAUACACGAGAACGGGCCAGAAAUGGUCAACUCUUUGGACACUCGUGAACAGGUGGUGCAUGGUUGUCGUCAGCUCGUGUCGUGAGAUGUUGGGUUAAGUCCCGCAACGAGCGCAACCCUCGUUCUAUGUUGCCAGCACGUAAUGGUGGGAACUCAUGGGAUACUGCCGGGGUCAACUCGGAGGAAGGUGGGGAUGACGUCAAAUCAUCAUGCCCCUUAUGUCUUGGGCUUCACGCAUGCUACAAUGGCCGGUACAAUGGGCUGCGAUACCGUAAGGUGGAGCGAAUCCCAAAAAGCCGGUCCCAGUUCGGAUUGAGGUCUGCAACUCGACCUCAUGAAGUCGGAGUCGCUAGUAAUCGCAGAUCAGCAACGCUGCGGUGAAUACGUUCCCGGGUCUUGUACACACCGCCCGUCA